CAGAUACAGAAAAGAUUAGUAUGGCCCCUGCUCAAGGACACGCAAAAUCGCGAAGCGUUCCACAGUUUU